rfam:Tauraco erythrolophus contig48705, whole genome shotgun sequence.
CCAAAGGCUCUUUUCAGAGCCACCAACAAAUUCAGAGAAAGAGCUU